UGGGGAAUAUUGCGCAAUGGGCGAAAGCCUGACGCAGCAACACCGCGUGAGGGAUGACGGCCUUCGGGUUGUAAACCUCUUUCAGCUCCGACGAAGCGAAAGUGACGGUAGGAGCAGAAGAAGCACCGGCUAACUACGUGCCAGCAGCCGCGGUAAUAUGUAGGGUGCAAGCGUUGUCCGGAAUUAUUGGGCGUAAAGAGCUCGUAGGCGGUCCGUUGCGUCUGCCGUGAAAACCCGGAGCUCAACUCCGGGCCUGCGGUGGAUACGGGCGGACUAGAGUCCGGUAGGGGAGACUGGAAUUCCUGGUGGUAGCGGUGGAAUGCGCAGAUAUCAGGAGGAACACCGGUGGCGAAGGCGGGUCUCUGGGCCGGAACUGACGCUGAGGAGCGAAAGCGUGGGG
rnacentral:rRNA from 1 species